CACAAGGGGUGAAGCCUGCGGUUCAAUUGGAGUCAACGCCGGAAAUCUUACCGGGGGCGACAGCAGAGUGAAGGUCAAGCUGAAGACUUUACCAGACAAGCUGAGAGGAGGUGCAUGGCCGUCGCCAGCUCGUGCCGUGAGGUGUCCUGUUAAGUCAGGUAACGAGCGAGAUCCCUAUCUCUAGUUGCUACUGCUGCUCUCAGGAGUAGUAGAGCUAAUUAGAGGGACCGCCGCCGCUGAGGCGGAGGAAGGAGGGGGCUACGGCAGGUCAGUAUGCCCCGAAACCCUCGGGCCACACGCGGGCUGCAAUGGUAAGGACAAUGGGUUCCUAUUCCGAAAGGAGGAGGCAAUCCCCAAACCUUACCCCAGUUAUGAUUGAGGGCUGAAACUCGCCCUCAUGAAUAUGGAAUCCCUAGUAACCGCGUGUCAUCAUCGCGCGGUGAAUACGUCCCUGCUCC
rnacentral:rRNA from 1 species